rnacentral:misc_RNA from 1 species
GAUGAAGAACGUAGCGAAAUGCGAUACGUAAUGUGAAUUGCAGAAUUCAGUGAAUCAUCGAAUCUUUGAACGCACAUUGCGCCCGCUAGUAUUCUAGCGGGCAUGCCUGUUCGAGCGUCAUUUCAACCCUCAGGCCCGCCGGGCCUGGCGUUGGGGAUCGGCACAGGGGUCCUCCCCCAGGCCGGCCCCGAAAUCCAGUGGCGGUCCCGCCGUAGCCUCCUCCGCGUAGUAACACACCUCGCUCUGGGACUCGGCGCGGCCCGUGCCGUUAAACACCCCACUUCUCAAGGUUGACCUCGGAUCAGGUAGGAAUACCCGCUGAACUUAAGCAUAUCAAUAAGCGGAGGA